rnacentral:rRNA from 1 species
GAUGAACGCUGGCGGCGUGCCUAAUACAUGCAAGUCGAGCGAACGGACGAGAAGCUUGCUUCUCUGAUGUUAGCGGCGGACGGGUGAGUAACACGUGGAUAACCUACCUAUAAGACUGGGAUAACUUCGGGAAACCGGAGCUAAUACCGGAUAAUAUUUUGAACCGCAUGGUUCAAAAGUAAAAGACGGUCUUGCUGUCACUUAUAGAUGGAUCCGCGCUGCAUUAGCUAGUUGGUAAGGUAACGGCUUACCAAGGCAACGAUGCAUAGCCGACCUGAGAGGGUGAUCGGCCACACUGGAACUGAGACACGGUCCAGACUCCUACGGGAGGCAGCAGUAGGGAAUCUUCCGCAAUGGGCGAAAGCCUGACGGAGCAACGCCGCGUGAGUGAUGAAGGUCUUCGGAUCGUAAAACUCUGUUAUUAGGGAAGAAUAUAUGUGUAAGUAACUGUGCACAUCUUGACGGUACCUAAUCAGAAAGCCACGGCUAACUACGUGCCAGCAGCCGCGGUAAUACGUAGGUGGCAAGCGUUAUCCCGGAUUAUUGGGCGUAAAGCGCGCGUAGGCGGUUUUUUAGUCUGAUGUGAAAGCCCACGGCUCAACCGUGGAGGGUCAUUGGAAACUGGAAAACUUGAGUGCAGAAGAGGAAAGUGGAAUUCCAUGUGUAGCGGUGAAAUGCGCAGAGAUAUGGAGGAACACCAGUGGCGAAGGCGACUUUCUGGUCUGUAACUGACGCUGAUGUGCGAAAGCGUGGGGAUCAAACAGGAUUAGAUACCCUGGUAGUCCACGCCGUAAACGAUGAGUGCUAAGUGUUAGGGGGUUUCCGCCCCUUAGUGCUGCAGCUAACGCAUUAAGCACUCCGCCUGGGGAGUACGACCGCAAGGUUGAAACUCAAAGGAAUUGACGGGGACCCGCACAAGCGGUGGAGCAUGUGGUUUAAUUCGAAGCAACGCGAAGAACCUUACCAAAUCUUGACAUCCUUUGACAACUCUAGAGAUAGAGCCUUCCCCUUCGGGGGACAAAGUGACAGGUGGUGCAUGGUUGUCGUCAGCUCGUGUCGUGAGAUGUUGGGUUAAGUCCCGCAACGAGCGCAACCCUUAAGCUUAGUUGCCAUCAUUAAGUUGGGCACUCUAAGUUGACUGCCGGUGACAAACCGGAGGAAGGUGGGGAUGACGUCAAAUCAUCAUGCCCCUUAUGAUUUGGGCUACACACGUGCUACAAUGGACAAUACAAAGGGCAGCGAAACCGCGAGGUCAAGCAAAUCCCAUAAAGUUGUUCUCAGUUCGGAUUGUAGUCUGCAACUCGACUACAUGAAGCUGGAAUCGCUAGUAAUCGUAGAUCAGCAUGCUACGGUGAAUACGUUCCCGGGUCU